rnacentral:lncRNA from 1 species
UAAACUGCGGUCUCAAUCUUUGGAAAAGCCAAUCGAUCCUAGAGUUGAUUUAUUAUUUAAAAGUCUGCCCGCUGCUUAUUCCGGACAUCUCCGUGGAAUUUGACAAGAUAGAAAAGUGCCCUCUGCAGCUGAGGGGUCAAAGGACCCUGGUGAGAGAGCCACAGGGGGGCAAUUGCAGCUUUCACACUCACAAGGUGACUACAAUUAAAAGGAAAGACUGCAAAUAUUGACACAUUCAACUUUAUUUUGGUUGUGUGUGAUUUUCUGGGAGGACUGUACUGUUUGAUUUCAUAUUAAAAACAUUGGCUUAACUUCAACCUGGAUCGGCUGGGCUCUGUCAGUGGGUCAUGAAGAUAAAUGGUCUGUUCCUCACCUGAAGAAUGGCAUUACAUGUAUCAGGAGCUUCCUGCUGCUGCUGCUGCCUCAACAUGCAUUGUUGGCCAGAGCACGUCUGCAUCCACUGGUGAUUCGCCAGUGUCACGUCCUGCACACUCGUUCUCUGUGAUACCCUCUGUUGUUCCAGAAACAACCCAUGCAGGUGACACAUCAGUCACCCUUCCUCCUCCAGAGAAGUCCAGUCAGCUCUACUGAUGUCUCCACUGCUCCAGUAAGGUCGAGGAUAAAUGUUUCAAUGGUAAAUUUAACAUACUGAUAUUAAUUUCUAGUCAAAGUUACUUACUCCAAAUGUUCUUCAAGCAUAAAAACAUCUUAUGACAUAGUGAUGCAACGUUUUGCCUCUAAUUUCCAAGGCUUUUGAUUUUGAUAUAUGUUUUAUGAGUUUGAUAUAUGUUUUAUGAGUUUGAUAUAUGUUAUUUUAAGUUUGAAAGAUCAAGGCUUGGUGGAAAACGUGAGAGCUGCAAAGCCAAACCUGAACGUUUCCAGAAAACCUUCCCAGGUGAAUAUAAGAACAUAUUAUGAAGUUUGGCAUGUACAUACAAAUGUAUGACAGUGGCAAAUAAAACAUGUACAAUAACAUGUCACAUCUAUAUAACCCCAUAGGUACCAGUGACUGCAUCGGGACAUGAGGGUCCUGGGGCAGCUUCAGCCAUCGACCCAUCUCCUGAUCCUGUCCCAUUGCCAAAGCAGCCUCAUCAACCUUCCCCAUCUCGUCCAACUGUUUCCGCAUCCCCAGACACCUUCCUUGCUCCCCCAUUACCACCAUCUGUGCAGCCACCAGCACCUGCUCAGCCUGUGACGGAUCAUACUGUUGUGAGCAACCUGGUAAAAACAGUCAACAUCAAUAGAUAAAAGUGAUGAUACUUUUGUUUUGCCUUAAACUAUUGCAUGGGAUGAGUCUUAAAAGGCAGGUCUCCUUGUUUUUCUGAACUUUAACAGAACCCCUUUCAGCCAGAGCAUUCUGCUGCUCUCCCACUGCUGUGGCCAAAGACAAUGCCACAGCAGGACCACAAGUGGGUGUCAUCAGCUUUGUUCAGGGUUGGUUCAGGUGGAAAGUUGGAGUUGCGUGACCAGCUUCAGCUGUGGUAUUACCCUCCACAGCCAUCUCUGGUGUACCACCAGGCUCCAACCCCUUUGCCGUACGGCUGCUCUGCUUAAAGCCAGCAUGUAAUGGGCAUCCACAGGCCAGCGGUGGUCUUCACAGGAGAGUGCGCCAGGUCCUUGAUAUUGACCGCUAUUACAACUUGGUCACAGAGACCCUGAUAUGCAGGCAAUUCUCCAGCAGCUGGACCUGGAACACCGCUCAGAGUUUAGGGUCAUCCUGACACGCAGGUACACGACACAAAUACAUACAUAUGCACUCACUACACAUAUUUACACAUCAAAAUGUAGUUUGGAGAAAGAGAGAAUAUUUUUUUUCCUUUUUAAAGAUAUGCCUGUGACAUCAGAGUGAUCCGUCUAGAUGCCUCUAGACUGCUGCAACCACAUUUUAGGAGCCCCCAGUAUCAGCGGUGUUACCAAGCUAUAAGUGGCUCCUUGUUGUGUACAGUCAAGAUAUCCUGAACAGGCUGGAGGAUAUUGAGGCUAAGAUAACUUCAGUCUAUGGAUGCAUUUUAAAAAUGGACUCUACUAAGACGGUUAGAAUUUGAAUAGCUCUAAUCUUCCAAAUAAUAUACACUCAAUCUUUACAUAAAUGUUCUGACGGUUUUUGAAUUUUCAGAUCACCAAGAAGCUCAGUGGACCUGCCAAGGGCACUGUCCGGUGGCUGACUUCUGUGGGGAACAAAAUGGGUCAGGUACUCAUUAGUGUCCUAACAGCCAGUGAGGGUCCAGCAUUGGAUCUUAUGGCCGCAGGCCUGAUGGACAGGUAAUAAUGACAAUACUGAUGAACUAUGAGCUAUUUAAAAGCACAUGUUAUAAACUGCUUACCAGAAUUGCAAAAAUGAAAGUGACAUUAUGGAUGGAUUCAGAAUA